rnacentral:rRNA from 1 species
AUUUGCAUAUCAAAAGCGGAGGAAAAGAAACCAACUGGGAUUACCUUAGUAACGGCGAGUGAAGCGGUAAAAGCUCAAAUUUGAAAUCUGGUACUUUCAGUGCCCGAGUUGUAAUUUGUAGAAUUUGUCUUUGAUUAGGUCCUUGUCUAUGUUCCUUGGAACAGGACGUCAUAGAGGGUGAGAAUCCCGUUUGGCGAGGAUACCUUUUCUCUGUAAGACUUUUUCGAAGAGUCGAGUUGUUUGGGAAUGCAGCUCAAAGUGGGUGGUAAAUUCCAUCUAAAGCUAAAUAUUGGCGAGAGACCGAUAGCGAACAAGUACAGUGAUGGAAAGAUGAAAAGAACUUUGAAAAGAGAGUGAAAAAGUACGUGAAAUUGUUGAAAGGGAAGGGCAUUUGAUCAGACAUGGUGUUUUUUGCAUGCACUCGCCUCUCGUGGGCUUGGGCCUCUCAAAAAUUUCACUGGGCCAACAUCAAUUCUGGCAGUAGGAUAAAUCAUUAAGAAUGUAGCUACCUCGGUAGUGUUAUAGCUUAUUGGAAUACUGCUAGCUGGGAUUGAGGACUGCGCUUCGGCAAGGAUGUUGGCAUAAUGGUUAAAUGCCGCCCGUCUUGAAACACGGACCAAA